GGUACCGUAAGGUGGUACCAGAAUAAGGGCUGGGCAAGACCGGUGCCAGCCGCCGCGGUAAUACCGGCAGCCCAAGUGAUGGCCGAUCUUAUUGGGCCUAAAGCGUCCGUAGCUGGCCGCGCAAGUCCAUCGGGAAAUCCACCUGCUCAACAGGUGGGCGCCCGGUAGAAACUGCGUGGCUUGGGACCGGAAGGCGCGACGGGUACGUCCGGGGUAGGAGUGAAAUCCCGUAAUCCUGGACGGACCGCCGAUGGCGAAAGCACGUCGCGAGAACGGAUCCGACAGUGAGGGACGAAAGCCAGGGUCUCGAACCGGAUUAGAUACCCGGGUAGUCCUGGCCGUAAACAAUGUCUGCUAGGUGUGGCUCCCACUACGAGUGGGUGCUGUGCCGUAGGGAAGCCGCUAAGCAGACCGCCUGGGAAGUACGUCCGCAAGGAUGAAACUU
rnacentral:rRNA from 1 species